UUUACUCUAAUUUUACAGAAAUUGAUAGAUUUCAACGAGCUCUUUCAAUUUCCGUAAAUUUUAAGGUUUUUUUAGCUUUAUUUUAGCUGAACUUUUACUUAAAAGUUUCUGAGUGAGGGGGACUUCCAAAAACAGAAACUUUGGUUUGUUCAUGUCCAUUAAGAUUGAUAUUUGCCAAAAUAUUUUGUAGUUUUCGUGAUGCCUGUUCACUUGUGCACGCGAGGAUGCUUUAAAAUUUAAAAAUUAUUUUAAGUUUUAAUAGGUAACGACCAAUAAGCUUGAACCCAUGCAGCGUGAAGCACACACACGAGAAAAAUGGAGCGGGACAUUUGAAUUAAAGAUACCGUAUUCCGUUUAUAGCUUUUUUCUCUUAUCUGUCGCUUUAUUUGGAAUCUUCAUAUUCACAUCUUCAUAUUCGCGAAUGAAAGCAAAGUCGACUACCACAACACGUUUCGAUCUUGGAUUAGCAGACUCUGGACAUGGUGGAAAACCCAAAUUACAACGCCUCAAAGAACGUCUCUCUCCGUUUGUCUUCACCACGAUCCGGAGGAAGGGUAAGGAUAAUUUUAUCCCUGACGCUUUAUCCCGCUCUCUUUUCGGCCAGCCCUUCGGAAGAAGACGACGCCGUUAACGCGGACAUGACAUCGCACGCGCGUCACUGCAUCGUACGACGCAUUCAGUCGGUGAGCGACGAGGAGGUUCCGGAAACUGCACCGUACCUGCUCAACUCACUUCUCGACAAUCUGCGAUCGAUUGCUGCAACAGACACGACGAGUUCAUCCAGACCAUUUCAAACGGCUUUCCGUCGGAACACCGCCAUUAUCCACCAACUUCCGGCAAUAUGGGCCAUCGGCCAUCGGCGUGGAUCUUUCAAUUGACGACGGACUGGAUGGAUGGACUAUACAACGGUCGGAUCGUGGUGCCCAAAGCAGCGCGACGUGAGAUCCUCCGAAAGCUCCAUUCGUCCCACCAAGGUAUCACCAGGACAAAUCGACACGCGCCGUGGGUGCUUUACUGGCCCGGAAUGUCCAAUGACAUAGUCCUUCUUGUCGAAGGGUGUCAAUCAUGCUGGCAAGUUCGAUCAAGCAUACCCAAGGAACCCAUGUUAUUGGAGCUACCACCGAAUCGCAUCUUCGAAGAUGUCUCUGCCAAUCUUUUACAGUACGGGAAUCUGCACGUGCUGGUCUAUAUCGAUAGUUUGUCCAGCAGUACACAGGUGGCAUCGAGAUCCGACGGCCAACGACGUCAUUGCAGCCAUCGCCGAGAACUUCGUCGACUUAGGCGUACCCAACCGAUUCCAGGACUUACUAGAGCUACGCAACACCCCGGGAGAAACGGGAACUUCCUCGAACGAAAUUGUCUUUGGCCACAACCUGCGUUCAAUUGUACCUGCUCAUCAUUCUUCUUAUGCAACCCGCUGGAAAGCUGCCACGAUUGAGCGCGACCGCAUUGCCGCCAAAGCGAAGUUUACUACGACGCAAACGCUCAUCCUUUGGCCGCAUUAAAGAUGAAAAGACUAAAUUAUGGGGAAAAAGUCGGUGUCAUCGUAGCCAUUGGAAAAAUCCGCUCUUAACCGCGUAAAAUUUGCAAGCGGGAGCGUCCUUUGGCGAAACCGGCACUUCCUAGUUCCUAGGUCCCAUCCGCGCCGCAGUUUUCCCAGAUACAACCGACUCAGAAGGAAGUCUGACCACGCCACCUCGCGACGCGGAAGCCAACGCAACUGCUCCACAUCCAGCAACCGAUCAUCCGACAUCUGAUCCCCCCCCACGCGACGUUGCCAUCGUGAACGCCGAUCGAAUCGCCUCACUCUUUAAAAAUUACAUUAACUUUAUGUCAUUUCCCACACUCAAGUUGCUCCUUUCCCCCUUCACUUAUCGCUGUUCUCAUGUAACCUAUCGCCUUCAAUUUUUAAUUCAGAUUUCGAGUUUGUUUUUCUCUUUUUUGUCUGUUGUUCGCUUCCCCAUUCUGUGAAAGCUUGUUUGCUUGUGGAUGUUGUGACCUGUCUUGGCCGCUAGAGGGCCCCCAUGUCGAGCCUAGAGCUAGAAGCUAAGCCUCAGUCUCAUGUCGACCUAGUUGAGAAAAGCUCGUCGGUUUCCCUAGAUGAAAUAAAAAGAUUCACAAUCGAACCGUAUACUCCUCCACUCGAUCAAAACAAUAAACAGUAUACAGAAAAUAAUUUAACACCUUAUAAUUCUGUAUUUUAACUGACAGCUACAAACACGUACAAACUCAAUAAACAAAAAUGCUUUGACCUGGGUGCGUAUUAUGUUUACCGAUAUUCCAUAGUAGGUCACAUCCGAUAAGAAUGUCCCAUUCCUUCCUAUUUGUUUUAUGCUCAUUUCGGUUGUCUGCCAACUUUUUCCCUUUGUUUGGUGAGUUGCUCCGCUACUUGUGUGGGAUAGUAUUCAGUUGAGUUUGCUAGGAACUCUUUUUCAAUAAAUCUGUAUUUGUUUUUUUGUGCGUUACCAUAGGUUCCCCAUAGAGUACAGUCUACUAUGUUAUAUCGACUUGUUUUGCACUUUUUUGUAUCAAAGGUGCUGAUGUCUAGUACUUUAUAAUCGACGAUUUCUUUCUUUGCAUUCUUUAUCGAUCCUUUCCUUAUGAAAGAGUUUUGGCUACCACUGUCCAUGAGACCUAUUAAACGUUUUAAUGUCCCAUCGUUCUGUUCGAUGUACGCUGUAAAUGUAGGCAGGAUCCCUGUUCCAUGUCUUUCAUUGCCUUCUGUUUUGUUCAUGCAUGUCACUGAUGUACUUGGCCUAUUUGGUUUUGUAGUACAUACUGCCAUGCUAUGACCAGGUGAAUUGCAGAUACUGCAAUUUCUUGUUUGUUUACAGGUUUCUGUAGGGUGCAUCCCGAACAGACAUUUGAGGCAUUUUUUAUUGUCUAAAUAGUAUUUUUUCCUUUCCUCUGGUGUACCAACUCUGCAUUGACGCGGGUUGUGUAGCGUUGACUUACAUGUCUUACAUGGCACGUAACCUUCUCUCGGUUUUUCUUUCUUUUCCUCCUCUUUAGAUUUGACCGGCCUUGCAAUUUCUUCGGAUUCUAAGAUCCUGAUUUCCUUGCUGAUGUUAGUCAGCACAUCCUUAAGUGUAGGUAUGUCGUUUUCUUCCCAAUUUUGUCUCCACCUUGUUGUCAUAUAUUUGGGAAAGGAUUGUAAUAAUGCGUUAGUCGAUUCUUCUUCAUAUGAUACAUCUUUGACUCCAAGGUCUUGUAAACAAAGGACUUGGCUGGAUAAUCUAUCCAUUAUGUUCCUCAAUGUGUCCGCGUUGUAUUGUGAAGAUAUCGGUGUACCGCUAAUCCUCCUUAGCUCCCCUCGUCUUAGGGCUAUUGCUCUCGGUUUACUACCGUAUCUUUUUUCCAGCUUUUUUUUUGUAUUUUGAUAAGUUUCGUUCGAAAACGGGAUGUCUUGGAUAGCUUCUUUUGCUUUCCCAGUGAUGCACUGUAAAAGCAGCCUAGCCUUUUCUGUGUCUGUGAUUGACGUAUCUUCAUCGUACGUUUUCCAUUGUUUAACCCAUCCUAAAUAUCGCAUUGGGUCCCCAUCAAAUUCUGGUAAUCCUAGUUUAGGUUCGGCUGUGCCGGAGUGUUUCGCAGUCGUGGCUGAUUGAUUACUUUUCAUCCUUGCUAGUAAUUCAUCUGCCACGGAUUUCGCUUUCCUUAAUUCCCUUCUUUGGUUGAUGUCACUACGCUGCCAUAUCUCAUCGUGGGAUUUGUUCAAUAUGAUCUCGGCGGUUGUUGCUCGAAUCAGUGCUAUCAGUUUAUCGUCAUUACUCCCAUUUUGGUAGUUAGCGUAUACACCAUCUAUCUCUUUUACUAACUCGUGAAACUCUGCUAGCCGGGCUUCGUAUAAGUCGCAUGUUUCAGACGAGUCUGUUGGUGAUGUUUCUGUCGGCCAAUUUACCAUCUUGGUUCUCAGGUCAUUUAAUGCAUGUGUUUGCUGUGCGUAUUUGGUUUCCAUUAAGGAUAUUCGUGACUCUAAGAGAGCGAUAUCAUUAUCCCAUUGUCUGUUUUGAUGAUAUUGUUAUCAUUAGUUCUCUGUGCUCUCCGAAUUUCUUUGACGUCCCGUUUAAUUUUUUUAGUUUGAUUUCUGAUUAGUGUUUUAACCGUAUCUUCUUCAAUUUCUUCCUCUUCUUCUUCCUCACCCGACUCGAGAUUAGCGUCCUCGUGUGAAUCGUUUUUAUCCGUUCCCCUUGACGGUGGAACCUCGCCUCACGGCUCUAGUCCCGUGUCGUCAAUCACUGUGUUUUCUCGUUCCUCUUCCGUUACAACGGUUAUUUUUUGUUUUUGUUACCUCGCGUACGUUUGGAUGGCCCUGCCUCAUCUGCCAUGUUUAGUGUGGUUUUUUUUACAAGUAAUAUAAAUGAACAUGGUUUAGUA
rnacentral:lncRNA from 1 species